rnacentral:rRNA from 1 species
GUGUCAGCCGCCGCGGUAAUACGAAGGGGGCUAGCGUUGCUCGGAAUUACUGGGCGUAAAGGGCGCGUAGGCGGACAGUUUAGUCAGAGGUGAAAGCCCAGGGCUCAACCUUGGAAUUGCCUUUGAUACUGGCUGUCUUGAGUACGGGAGAGGUGAGUGGAACUCCGAGUGUAGAGGUGAAAUUCGUAGAUAUUCGGAAGAACACCAGUGGCGAAGGCGACUCACUGGCCCGUUACUGACGCUGAGGCGCGAAAGCGUGGGGAGCAAACAGGAUUAGAUACCCUGGUAGUCCACGCCGUAAACGAUGAGUGCUAGUUGUCGGCAUGCAUGCAUGUCGGUGACGCAGCUAACGCAUUAAGCACUCCGCCUGGGGAGUACGGUCGCAAGAUUAAAACUCAAAGAAAUUGACGG